UCGAUGAAACCCAAUUAAAAACAGUCUCUUUGAAAUGUAUGAAAGCGAUCCUCGCAGUAAUGAAUCCUACUUAUGUAGUAAUGGAAAUAUGACCUGAAAAAAAUUCAGGCAUGUACAGGAUUUGAACCCAUGACCUUUGUCUGGUGACAAUUCUUGAAAUCAUCGUUAACGUUUUUUUCCUCUUUCUCUUUGUUGUAGUCUCGAGACGUAGACAGGAAAAAUCCCAAAGCAGUGAAAAAAGCAAAUAUGUAUUAUUUCAUUGCAUCAGCCAUUGCAUUGUUCGUGUCAUUAAUCAUCAACAUAUUCGUGGUCGUAGUAUUUGUUAGAGCAUUUUAUAAAAGGACGUAUGGAG